rnacentral:lncRNA from 1 species
UUUUAUGUAACUAUUUCUGGCUCUCUCUGACCCCAUAAUUAAACCAACAAAUAUAAUAAUCGAUAAGAUUCAAUUGAAACAUAAAUAACUAGUAGAAGAAAACAAAGAACAAUUAAGCAGAAGAAAGUGAAGAAAUGCCUGGCUUUCCCAUGUACGCCUCUAAUCUUGAAAUGGUGAAUUCUCCACCACAAGAAAUAAGUUCCUCUUCUUUUUCAAAACCCUAUCUUAGAGUGACAAAAAACAUCACUGAAUAAUGAUACAAAAUGAACCUCUUCCAGCUCAACACGAACUGCAAUGGCAUUUCCAUAAUGAGGAAUACCAUUCAUGAACUUCUUCAUCAUCUUGUUGUUAAUGAUCAUGAUCUUAUUCUCAAAACCAAAAGCAUAACCUUUUGGUUUGAUAAGACUAAGACCUAAAAUGGGUAGUUAUAUAAGAUAGAAAUUAAACAGUAAGACG